UGCUCGGGCUACAAAAGGAGCCGAGUGGUCGAGCAGAGGAGUGUUACGGGCAUCUAGAUACUGAAGGGAACUCGUCUGAGGAGGAAACAACAACAGAGGCACAGUGAGCUUAUCAGCAGCUGAUAUGGAGACAUGUUCUAGAAUUGCGCCGCUCAAGGUGGCAGCAGAAUGUCUCUGAGUUGCUGGACAGAAGAACGGUCGCUCACCUUUCUCAUCAUGUGAGCGGCGGCCUGCCAUCCUCGCGUGCCGAUAUGCUUGUUGAAGGAGAUGUUGAGAUGUG